AGAGUUUGAUCCUGGCUCAGAAUCAACGCUGGCGGCGCGCUUAACACAUGCAAGUCGCACGAGAAAGUGGAGCAAUCCAUGAGUACAGUGGCGUACGGGUGAGUAACACGUGGAUCAUCUACCUUCUAGUGGGGAAUACCCCUGGGAAACUGGGGACAAUACCGCAUAAGCUCGUAAGAGGAAAGCAGCAAUGCGCUGGAAGGGGAGUCCGCGGCUGAUUAGCUAGUUGGCGGGGUAAUGGCCCACCAAGGCGAAGAUCGGUAGCCGGCCUGAGAGGGCACACGGCCACACUGGCACUGAAACACGGGCCAGACUCCUACGGGAGGCAGCAGUGGGGAAUCUUGCACAAUGGAGGAAACUCUGAUGCAGCGACGCCGCGUGAGCGAUGAAGCCCUUCGGGGUGUAAAGCUCUUUCGACGGGAACGAUAAUGACGGUACCCGAAGAAGAAGCUGCGGCUAACUACGUGCCANCAGCCGCGGUAAUACGUAGGCAGCAAGCGUUGUUCGGAAUUACUGGGCGUAAAGAGUGUGUAGGCGGUGUNCUAAGUUUGUCGUGAAAUCUCCCGGCCUUAACUGGGAGGGUGCGGCGAAAACUGNAAUGCUANAGGAUGGGAGAGGUAAGCGGAAUUNCUUGGUGUANGGUGAAAUGCGUAGAUNUCAGGAGGAAC
rnacentral:rRNA from 1 species